AUGCAGCAAAGAGGAUUUCCUGGGAUGCUUGGAAGCAUCGACUGCAUGCAUUGGAAAUGGAAAAACUGCCCAUUUGCUUGGCAGGGGAUGUACAAAGGCGCCAAAGGCGGUUGCAGUGUGGUGCUUGAGGCGGUGGCCACACAAGACCUCUGGAUUUGGCACUCCUUCUUUGGUAUGCCAGGAACUCACAAUGACAUCAACGUGCUGCAGUGCUCUCCUGUCUUUGCCAAGCUUGUUGAAGGUCAUUCUCCUCCGGUGAACUUCGAGAUCAAUGGGCGGCACUACAACAAGGGGUACUAUCUAGCUGAUGGCAUCUAUCCGAGAUGGUCGACAUUUGUGAAGACCAUCUCAAACCCUGUGCCAGGAGGCAAGAACGCCUGGUUUGAGAAGAUUCAGGAGGCGUGCAGGAAGGAUGUCGAGCGGGCAUUUGGUGUGCUCCAAUCUCGAUUUGCUGUUGUCCGGUACCCCGCUCAGACGUGGUCCAAAGAUCAAAUGUGGAAGAUUAUGACUUGCUGUGUCAUCUUGCACAAUAUGAUCAUCAAGAGCGAGCAAGAAGACCCAGUGUUUGACACUGAACCAUACUACAGGCAGGGUCCUCUAGCCGAAGUUGAUCACCAGCUACCGGCAACUUGGAUUGCCUAUCUCAGUAUGCGUCAGGAGAUCUGA
rnacentral:rRNA from 1 species